rnacentral:rRNA from 1 species
GACGACCGGUGGCGAAAGCGUCUCGCUAGAACGACUCCGACGGUGAGGGACGAAGGCUAGGGGAGCAAACCGGAUUAGAUACCCGGGUAGUCCUAGCUGUAAACGCUGCCCACUUGGUGUUGCCCUUUCCUCGGGAAGGGGCAGUGCCAGAGCGAAGGUGUUAAGUGGGCUGCUUGGGGAGUAUGGUCGCAAGGCUGAAACUUAAAGGAAUUGGCGGGAGAGCACCGCAACGGGAGGAGCGUGCGGUUUAAUUGGAUUCAACGCCGGAAAACUCACCAGGGGAGACCAUGGGAUGAGUGUCAGCCUGAAGAGCUUACACGAUCACAUGGAGAGGUGGUGCAUGGCCGUCGUCAGCUCGUACCGUAGAGCGUUCACUUAAGUGUGAUAACGAGCGAGACCCUUGCCCAUAUUUGCUAUCUUCUUCGCGAGAGGAAGAGCACUAUAUGGGGACCGCUAGCGUUAAGCUAGAGGAAGGAGAGGUCAACGGCAGGUCAGUAUGCCCCGAAUCCCCUGGGCAACACGCGCGCUACAAAGGACGGAACAAUGGGUUGCAACUUCGAAAGGAGGAGCUAAUCCCGAAAUCCAUCCGUAGUUCAGACUGAGGGCUGUAAUUCGCCCUCACGAAGCUGGAUUCCGUAGUAAUCGCGGAUCAACAGUACGCGGUGAAUAUGCCCCUGCUCUUUGCACCACCGCCCGUCA